rnacentral:rRNA from 1 species
UACGUAGGGUGCGAGCGUUAAUCGGAAUUACUGGGCGUAAAGCGUGCGCAGGCGGUUUUGUAAGCCAGAUGUGAAAGCCCCGGGCUUAACCUGGGAAUGGCAUUUGGGACUGCAAGGCUGGAGUGUGGCAGAGGAGACUGGAAUUCCUGGUGUAGCAGUGAAAUGCGUAGAUAUCAGGAGGAAUACCGAUGGCGAAGGCAGGUCUCUGGGCUGACACUGACGCUCGUGCACGAAAGCGUGGGGAGCAAACAGG